GACGAACGCUGGCGGCGUGCUUAACACAUGCAAGUCGUACGGUAAGGCCCUUUCGGGGGUCCACGAGUGGCGAACGGGUGAGUAACACGUGAGUAACCUGCCCACAACUUUGGGAUAACGCUAGGAAACUGGUGCUAAUACUGGAUAUGUGCUCCUGCUGCAUGGUGGGGGUUGGAAAGCUCCGGCGGUUGUGGAUGGACUCGCGGCCUAUCAGCUUGUUGGUGGGGUAGUGGCCUACCAAGGCGGCGACGGGUAGCCGGCCUGAGAGGGUGACCGGCCACAUUGGGACUGAGAUACGGCCCAGACUCCGACGGGAGGCAGCAGUGGGGAAGAUUGCACAAUGGGCGCAAGCCGGAUGCAGCAACGCCGCGUGCGGGAUGACGGCCUUCGGGUUGUAAACCGCUUUCAGCAGGGACGAAGCUUUUUGUGACGGUACCUGCAGAAGAAGCACCGGCUAACUACGUG
rnacentral:rRNA from 1 species